rnacentral:siRNA from 1 species
CCACCGGUCCCAUAGUCUCUCCCC